AACGAACGCUGGCGGCAGGCUUAACACAUGCAAGUCGAGCGCCCCGCAAGGGGAGCGGCAGACGGGUGAGUAACGCGUGGGAAUCUACCCAUCUCUACGGAAUAACGCAUGGAAACGUGUGCUAAUACCGUAUACAUCCUUCGGGAGAAAGAUUUAUCGGAGAUGGAUGAGCCCGCGUUGGAUUAGCUAGUUGGUGGGGUAAAGGCCUACCAAGGCGACGAUCCAUAGCUGGUCUGAGAGGACGAUCAGCCACACUGGGACUGAGACACGGCCCAGACUCCUACGGGAGGCAGCAGUGGGGAAUAUUGGACAAUGGGCGCAAGCCUGAUCCAGCCAUGCCGCGUGAGUGAUGAAGGCCCUAGGGUUGUAAAGCUCUUUCACCGGUGAAGAUAAUGACGGUAACCGGAGAAGAAGCCCCGGUUAACUUCGUGCCAGCCGCCGCCGUAAGAC
rnacentral:rRNA from 1 species